UCUUCGUUAGUAUAGUGGACAGUAUGUUCCCCUUUUUUGCCGCGCAGAAGUUCGGGGUUCGAUUCCCCGACUGGGAG